GGGGAAUUUUGGACAAUGGGCGCAAGCCUGAUCCAGCCAUGCCGCGUGCAGGAUGAAGGCCCUCGGGUUGUAAACUGCUUUUGUACGGAACGAAAAGCCUCUUUCUAAUAAAGAGGGGUGAUGACGGUACCGUAAGAAUAAGCACCGGCUAACUACGUGCCAGCAGCCGCGGUAAUACGUAGGGUGCGAGCGUUAAUCGGAAUUACUGGGCGUAAAGCGUGCGCAGGCGGUCUUGCAAGACAGUGGUGAAAUCCCCGGGCUCAACCUGGGAACUGCCAUUGUGACUGCAAGGCUGGAGUACGGCAGAGGGGGAUGGAAUUCCGCGUGUAGAAGUGAAAUGCGUAGAUAUGCGGAGGAACACCGAUGGCGAAGGCAGUCCCCUGGGCCUGUACUGACGCUCAUGCACGAAAGCGUGGGGAGCAAACA
rnacentral:rRNA from 1 species